rnacentral:rRNA from 1 species
CAGUCGCCACGGUAAUACGUAGGUGGCAAGCGUUGUCCGGAAUUAUUGGGCGUAAAGGGCUCGCAGGCGGUUUCUUAAGUCUGAUGUGAAAGCCCCCGGCUCAACCGGGGAGGGUCAUUGGAAACUGGGAAACUUGAGUGCAGAAGAGGAGAGUGGAAUUCCACGUGUAGCGGUGAAAUGCGUAGAGAUGUGGAGGAACACCAGUGGCGAAGGCGACUCUCUGGUCUGUAACUGACGCUGAGGAGCGAAAGCGUGGGGAGCGAACAGGAUUAGAUACCCCCGUAGUCCCUGUCUCUAUACA